GACGGAAGGUGCAAGCGUUGCUCGGAAUCACUGGGCGUAAAGGGUGCGUAGGCGGCCGUGCAAGUCUGGCGUGAAAGCCCCGGGCUCAGCCCGGGAAGUGCGCUCGAAACUGCGCGGCUCGAGUGCCGGAGGGGAGAGUGGAAUUCCUGGGUGUAGCGGUGAAAUGCGUAGAUAUCAGGAGGAAUACCGGUGGCGAAAGCGAACUCUCUGGACGGCAACUGACGCUGAGGCACGAAGCGUG
rnacentral:rRNA from 1 species